GGGAGCUCUGUAGCAUUUCUAAUAUUAUAUGUGAAUGACAUAUUGUUGAUUGCAAAUGAUAUAGAAUUUCUGGAUAGCAUAAAAGGAUACUUGAAUAAGAGUUUUUCAAUGAAAGACCUCGGUGAAGCUGCUUAUAUAUUGGGCAUCAAGAUAUAUAGAGAUAGAUCAAGACGCUUAAUUGGACUUUCACAAAGCACAUACCUUGAUAAGAUUUUGAAGAAGUUCAAAAUGGACCAGUCAAAGAAAGGGUUCUUGGCUGUGUUACAAGGUGUGAAGUUGAGUGAGACUCAAUGCCCGACCACUGUAGAAGAUAGAGAGAAAAUGAAA
rnacentral:rRNA from 1 species